CGUCCCGCUCGCCGUGGCCGUGGCCGAUGACCGCGGCCCCGCCGUCCCGCCCUGCCGUCUCGCCCGUCUGCUUCGACUCCUCCCACAGCCGCCUCCCUCCCUCACUCGCUCCUCAUCCGGCGACGGCGGCAGCGGUCACAGAGGAGAGCAGCGGAUCAACGGCGCCGGCGAUGGCGUCCGUGGCGGCGGUGGACGGCGCGGCCGCGGCGCUCCGUUCACUGAUGUUGCGCGCGCAGCAGGUGGCGGCGCAGUCGGGGCUGGCGCCCCGCCUCCGCCUCUGCUUGCCCUCGCGCCGCCGCCGCCGCCUCUGCCUCUGCUCGCCCUCGCGCCGCCGCCUCCGCCUCUUCUCGCCCUCGCGCUGUCGGGCCAUUUCCUCCUCCACGCCCCCUUGGUGCUCAUCAGGAAAAGCGCGGCUCGGCGCCGGCCCUCGUGAGUGAGGUAGGACACGCGCAGGAGGGAGCGGCGGAGCAAGGUGGGGCCGGUCGAGGUCUCUGUCAAUCUGCUGUUGUGGUCAUCGAUUUGCAGAUUCGUUAGGUGUUGCCGAUGCCUCCUUUGAUCUGACCCGGUUGCGUCUCGUUCAUGGAUCUGAGUUUGGGAGAGAUACAACAGAGAAGACCACCAGAGAAACGGUCGUCUCGGACCCAGACUAUCAUCGCUAUACUUGGGAUAUCUGGUGUGUCUGCAUAUGCAUAAAAUCUUCUUGUCGCUGCACCUGUAGACCUACUGGGGUUGCUUCUCUUGUUUCAUGAUUUGACGGAGAGCUCAUUUCAUGUUUUGGAUCUCUUGCCAGGUUUGUUUAUGUCUUGGAUUGGAGCAGCGAUGCAAGUAGGGAGAGGUCAUUGCCUGGACUGCUUCUCCUCUCAUCAUCGUGGCUUGCAGGUCGCCACCGUCACAAAUGUUACUUUUCAUUUACAUUCACAUGAUGUUGUAGUGUUCCAGACAUGAAAACGAUAAAAUAUUAUGGCCGGAUGGCACCGACCGACUCGAGCUCGCUUCAGCCUCCUCCUACGAUCCUGCAGCUACUACCUCCCCAAGCAAAGUCAACCUACAGCAACAAGGAUAUCCCUUUAGCAGCAGAAGCCUCUAAAGAUCACUCUAAUGUGGCUUACAUUGUCACUCCUCUUGGAUUGCAUGAGCUUAUGGUUGUCACUCCUCUUGAAUUGCAUGAGCUUAUGGUGGUAUGUGCUAAUUAAUUCCCCUAUAGUUUUACCACACUAGACAAUGUGCGUUCAGUAAACAUUAUGGUCAUUGUCGAUAAAGAGGUAACUAGCUGUCUAUUGUGAAGUACGGCUAAAUAUGUUCACUUGGUCCAUUUGUUAGUUCCCCGGUCCUCUUGACCACAACCGAAUAGUCUUUUGUUUUUUUUUCCAUUGUAGCUCAGCUCUGUAUGCUCCUAUUUCUCAAGUGGGAGUAGUGCCGCUUCCAAGAAAUAGGUCUAUGUAUGCUUAAUGCAUGUACCUGGAUUCCCUUCUAUAAUGACAAUAAUGUUUAUGCACUUCUAAUUCUACACAACGUCAAAUAAUAGAGAGUAAUCCAUUUUUUGUAUGUGUGGGCUCAUAUUGUACCUAAUCUGGAAAAAAAAUUAAAUGACAAGAUUGCAAAAAGGUGUCGGCUUGAGGUUGACCACAUCUGUUGUAUCCACCUGGAGGCCGGCUCUCUCGGUUCACUCAAGAGUACCUUUGUUCCGUUGUAGCUCAAAACGUAAGAUGCCAGAGCCACGACGGGAGUGCGUCUGCUUCCCCUUAGGAGGUAAGGCGGCGGAUGUUAUAUAUGCCCACUCUACCAUUUUCUUUAUAACAUGUAGAGUUAAACCACUGGUUUCAUAUGUCCUUUAUUCUUAUUACUUUUAGUCUCCAAAUGAUAUAGGAGAUUCUGUUGGUGCUCUAUUAACAUGAUUGGAUUUUGUAUUUUUUUCUUAUUAAAUAAUAUUGCUCCUGCACUGUGACACAUAGUCGGAGAGUAAUCCAUUCUAUUGUAUAUGUGGACUCCUCAUUGCCAAUUUGGUCAGGAAAUAAUAUUAUCUUUAAAAAUAUCAUUGUAGUAUGAGAUGGGUUCCUGAAGCAGUACC